CCUACGAGUGGCAGCAGUGAGGAAUAUUGGUCAAUGGGCGCGAGCCUGAACCAGCCAAGUAGCGUGAAGGAUGACUGCCCUUCGGGUUGUAAACUUCUUUUAUAAAGGAAUAAAGCGAGGCACGUGUGCCUUUUUGUAUUUACUUUAUGAAUACUGAUCGGCUAACUCCGUACCAGCAGCCGCGGUAAUACGGAGGAUCCGAGCGUUAUCCGGAUUUAUUGGGUUUAAAGGGAGAGUAGAUGGGUUGUUAAGUCAGUUGUGAAAGUUUGCGGCUCAACCGUAAAAUUGCAAUUGAUACUGGCAGCCGUGAGUACAGGUGAGGUAGGGGGAAUUCGUGGUGUAGCGGUGAAAUGCUUAGAUAUCACGAAGAACUCCGAUUGCGAAGGCAGCCUACUAAACUGCCACUGACAUUGAUGCUCGAAAGUGUGGGUAUCAAACAGGAUUAGAUACCCUUGUAGUC
rnacentral:rRNA from 1 species